rnacentral:rRNA from 1 species
UACGAAGGGGGCUAGCGUUGCUCGGAAUCACUGGGCGUAAAGCGCACGUAGGCGGCUUUCUAAGUCAGGGGUGAAAUCCUGGAGCUCAACUCCAGAACUGCCUUUGAUACUGGAGAGCUUGAGUCCGGGAGAGGUGAGUGGAACUCCGAGUGUAGAGGUGAAAUUCGUAGAUAUUCGGAGGAACACCAGUGGCGAAGGCGGCUCACUGGUCCGGUACUGACGCUGAGGUGCGGAAGCGUGGGGAGCAAACAGG